UGGGGAAUAUUGCACAAUGGGCGCAAGCCUGAUGCAGCCAUGCCGCGUGUGUGAAGAAGGCCUUCGGGUUGUAAAGCACUUUCAGCGAGGAGGAAGGUGGUGAACUUAAUACGUUCAUCAAUUGACGUUACUCGCAGAAGAAGCACCGGCUAACUCCGUGCUAGCGGCCGCGGUAAUACGGAGGGUGCAAGCGUUAAUCGGAAUUACUGGGCGUAAAGCGCACGCAGGCGGUUUGUUAAGUCAGAUGUGAAAUCCCCGGGCUCAACCUGGGAACUGCAUUUGAAACUGGCAAGCUAGAGUCUCGUAGAGGGGGGUAGAAUUCCAGGUGUAGCGGUGAAAUGCGUAGAGAUCUGGAGGAAUACCGGUGGCGAAGGCGGCCCCCUGGACGAAGACUGACGCUCAGGUGCGAAAAGCGUGGGGAGCAAACAGGAUUAGAUACCCUGGUAGUCCACGCUGUAAAACGAUGUCGAUUUUGGAGGUUGUGCCCCUUGAGGCGUGGCUUCCGGAGCUAACGCGUUAAAUCGACCGCCUGGGGAGUACGGCCGCAAGGUUAAAACU
rnacentral:rRNA from 1 species